AUUGAACGCUGGCGGCAUGCCUUACACAUGCAAGUCGAACGGUAACGCGAGGGCAACCUGGCGACGAGUGGCGAACGGGUGAGUAAUGCAUCGGAACGUGCCUGGUAGUGGGGGAUAACUGCUCGAAAGAGCAGCUAAUACCGCAUACGACCUGAGGGUGAAAGGGGGGGAUCGCAAGACCUCUCGCUAUCAGAGCGGCCGAUGUCGGAUUAGCUAGUUGGUGGGGUAAAGGCCCUCCAAGGCAACGAUCCGUAGCUGGUCUGAGAGGACGACCAGCCACACUGGGACUGAGACACGGCCCAGACUCCUACGGGAGGCAGCAGUGGGGAAUUUUGGACAAUGGACGCAAGUCUGAUCCAGCCAUGCCGCGUGCGGGAAGAAGGCCUUCGGGUUGUAAACCGCUUUUGUCAGGGAAGAAAUCUUCUGGGUUAAUACCUCGGGAGGAUGACGGUACCUGAAGAAUAAGCACCGGCUAACUACGUGCCAGCCGCCGCAGUAACAC
rnacentral:rRNA from 1 species